rnacentral:snRNA from 1 species
GAAUGUGAGGGUGAUCUGGGUGCAGUAUUACCCCAGUGAUCACCAGGGUUGAUUCAGCUGACCUGGCUGGCUCCCUGGGUACCCCCUUUCCUUCCUUACUGUUCCAUGUGCCUCCCCCUUGCAAAGCUUCAUGAAACUUAAAAAAAAAAAAACACACAGAAAGGCUGGAAUUGAUUGAAGGUGUAAAAGUAUCUGAUUUCUGGGAGUCAGGCAGUAGGGCAGUGGGUUAAGUGCAGGUGGCACAAAGCACAAAGACCGGCGUAAGGAUCCCGGUUCAAGUGACCUACAGGGGAGUCACUUCACAAGUGGUGAAGCAGGUCUGCAGGUGUCUAUCUUUCUCU